GAGCGAGAAAGUGGAGCAAUCCAUGAGUAAAGCGGCGACCGGAGUGAGUAACACGUGACUAACCUACCUCCGAGUGGGGAAUAACUCCGGGAAACCGGGGCUAAUACCGCAUAACAUCGCAAGAUCAAAGCAGCAAUGCGCUUGGAGAGGGGGUCGCGGCUGAUUAGCUAGUUGGCGGGGUAACGGCCCACCAAGGCGAAGAUCGGUAUCCGGCCUGAGAGGGCGCACGGACACACUGGAACUGAAACACGGUCCAGACUCCUACGGGAGGCAGCAGUGGGGAAUUUUGCGCAAUGGGGGAAACCCUGACGCAGCAACGCCGCGUGGAGGAUGAAGCCCUUUGGGGCGUAAACUCCUUUCGAUCGGGACGAUUAUGACGGUACCGGAUGAAGAAGCACCGGCUAACUCUGUG
rnacentral:rRNA from 1 species